UGGGGAAUAUUGCACAAUGGGGGAAACCCUGAUGCAGCGACGCCGCGUGAGCGAAGAAGUAUUUCGGUAUGUAAAGCUCUAUCAGCAGGGAAGAAAAUGACGGUACCUGACUAAGAAGCCCCGGCUAACUACGUGCCAGCAGCCGCGGUAAUACGUAGGGGGCAAGCGUUAUCCGGAUUUACUGGGUGUAAAGGGAGCGUAGACGGGACAGCAAGUCUGAUGUGAAAGGCGGGGGCUCAACCCCCGGACUGCAUUGGAAACUGUUGACCUGGAGUACCGGAGGGGUAAGCGGAAUUCCUAGUGUAGCGGUGAAAUGCGUAGAUAUUAGGAGGAACACCGGUGGCGAAGGCGGCUUACUGGACGGUAACUGACGUUGAGGCUCGAAAGCGUGGGGAGCAAACA
rnacentral:rRNA from 1 species